rnacentral:rRNA from 1 species
UACGAAGGGGGCUAGCGUUGUUCGGAAUUACUGGGCGUAAAGGGCGCGUAGGCUGUGCUGUAAGUCAGGCGUGAAAGCCCCGGGCUCAACCUGGGAAUUGCGCUUGAUACUGCGGCGCUGGAAGGUGGGAGAGGAUGGCGGAAUUCCCAGUGUAGAGGUGAAAUUCGUAGAUAUUGGGAAGAACACCGGUGGCGAAGGCGGCUCACUGGCUCGUAUCUGACGCUCAGGCGCGACAGCGUGGGGAUCAAACAGG